GUGCUCACUUUGGAAGCAUAUAAAUUAAAAUUGGAACAAUACAAGAUUAGCAUGGCUCCUGCACAAGGUCAAUAGGCAAAUUUGUGAAGCAUUUUAUAUUUUA